UGGAAGUAAAAGUCGUAACAAGGUUUCCGUAGGUGAACCUGCGGAAGGAUCAUUAUUGAAUUCAUAUAUGCAAAGGAGUUGUGCUGGUAAUAAAUAUUGCAUGUGCACACUCUGAAGCUAUAUAAUAUAUACACCUGUGAACCAACUGUAGUCUGGAGAAAUCCUGACUAUGAUUACUCUAUAUAACUCUUAUUGUAUGUUACAUAGAACGAUCUCAUAUUGAAGCUUUGUUUUUUUUUUUACAAGUUUCUCUUAAUUGAAAAAUACACAACUUUCAACAACGGAUCUCUUGGCUCUUGCAUCGAUGAAGAACGCAGCGAAAUGCGAUAAGUAAUGUGAAUUGCAGAAUCCAGUGAAUCAUCGAAUCUUUGAACGCACCUUGCGCCCUUUGGUAUUCCGAGGGGCAUGCCUGUUUGAGAGUCAUUAAAUUCUCAACCUUACAAAUUUUUGUAUUUGUCAAGGCUUGGAUGUGAGAGUUGCUAGUUAGAGAAUAUUCUGACUGGCUCUCUUUAAAACUAUUAGUAGGACAUAUAGAAAUUGCCUGCGGUUGGUGUGAUAAUAUGUCUACGCCUAUACCAAAGGGGAGAUUCUAGCUUGUAUGCACUACUUAUAAAAUCAUGCGCAUAUAUCUAGCAUAUAAGUGCAUAUAUUGACCAUUUGACCUCAAAUCAGGUAGGACUACCCGCUGAACUUAAGCAUAUCAAUAAGCAUAUCAAUAAGCGGAGGA
rnacentral:rRNA from 1 species